rnacentral:lncRNA from 1 species
GCUAAGGGCAACGUCCCACUGGAGGUCAGAGGGUACUGAGGAGCCCAGGACACACACAGUGCCAGAGGAGCUAAAAGCAGCAUUUCUGGAGGAGCAGUAACAAAGACUCAGAGACACAACCUCCCAUUCUUAGGCUUGUUGCUGUCACCUUUGCUAAACAACCCUUAAACAAUCUGCAUGUAAGAAUGUUCUCUCCACUCACUGCCUUCUUGCAACUCUUCCUGGACCGCCCUGUCCCUCCCUCGCCUCACGUGCUCCGGCAGCACAGCAGGCAGAAGUGCUCUGCAGCAGCUGCAUUUCCUCCUCACACGCUCCAGGCCCCGCUCUGGCAGAGGGGAGCACACAGCAGAAGGUCCUCCGAACUCCACCAGGAGCAGCAUCACCACCCACUGCUCUGCACAGCGCGCGAGAUGGGGACAGCUUUCCCCACAGCCACUCUGCCAGCACAGCCACCUCUCACACACUUCCCUAAGCCAGGGCUGCUCAGCUGGGUGCCUAUGGGUGGUGAGGGCAGGAUAUCUCCACACCAACUCCAAGCCUUGCCCGCAGGCAGGGAGAGAUGGAGGUGGAGGAGGGCAGCAUGCAGGGUGUGAGGGAGGGGCAGAGCGUGCUGCCCACCCUCUGGAGGCCAGGAAGGCCGAGAGCAGCCCCCAGUAACAGCCCGUUCUUUGAGGUGACAUCACAAGAAUAGAAAAACCAACUUGAAGCCACCUUGCUGCGGGUUCCUGGAUCGGCACAUCCUGCUCGGUGCCAGAGCUGAGCUCUGAGCCAUUUUUUAGCGUCGAGGCUCAGGGAGAGCACGUGGUAGCAACGAGGAGCACACGCAGAGGAGGGACAGCCCUGCCCCGCAGGAGGGGUUUUCCUGAAGAUGCAGGAGCCACAGGGCAGCGGAGCUACGAAGCCCGGAGGAAGGCUAACCUAACACCUUAGGACUGCUUACGUGAGCUCUGCAAGCCAGGCUCCUCCACUACGCCCCCCCCCGGCCGGCUCAGAGGGCAGGACCCUCGGGCGCUGCCCCCACCGCCCCCCCGAGCUCCCGCUGCACCCGCCGGGCCGGCGGCCGCGAUGUCACCCCGCUGGGUGCCGCAGCUCGGGGGCGCGCGCUGUGAGCCGUCCCCGGCCGUCCCGCCGCGGGACCGACAACCCGCCGCCCCCCGGGCUGUGCAGAGCCACGGCCCGCCGGGACCGGGGCGCUCCCGGAGGCCAGGCCUCGUCCCACGCCAUCCUCCAACCCGGGGAGCGCAGGAAAGCCAGAGGAAAGCGGGGAGGGAUGCCAGCCGGGCGCACAGAGGAAGAGCAGGAACGGCUUCAGAAGGCAGAGCGCGUCCCAGCCCGAGACAGAGCGGUCUGGAAGAAAAGAGAGAGACAGAGAGGGAGAGAGCAGGCACGAAGCGAGCCUCAGCUCCCGGCUCGCCGCGCCUUGUUUAUCCCGGGGCGCCGAGCGGGGCCGCCGGCGGACAACCCUCGCCCGGCCCGCUCCGCUCCUCUCCCCGCAGCCCCUUACCGCGCUCCGUCGGGCGAGGCGGCGGCUGCCGGCGGCACUCCAGCCGCGGCGCGGCCGGGGCAUGUUGGGCCGGGCGCUAUUUAUAGCGGCAGGAAGCGCCGCGCCGCGGCUCUGGGGCGCCGCUCCCCGCAGCCCCGCGCGCUGCACAUGGACCCGGCCCCGGCCCCGGCCAGAGAGCGGGAGGGCGGGGGGCGGCGGGCAGGCCGGAGUCGGGUGCGUGGGGACGGGGAAAGGACUGCGGGACCCAGCUGCCCCGUCACCUCCCCCGGUGCCCUACCGCCCCGAUGGCAACCGGCGGGUCUGGGGAGCGGCCGCGGCACGGCGGGGAUGCAGACAGAAGAGUGCGGGCGUCGUUAAACACUGGGAAUAGAGGUACUUGCUGCAUCCCUAUUAAGAACUGCAGUAUGCGAAGGUGUGGGAGGGUCAAUUACCUCCCUCCGCAUGAUGCCCCCGAAGGAAUCUGCGCUUCUUAUCUCAAUUAGCUCACGCAGAAAUGGCUUUGCCAGGCAAGUGAUAGAAACUGCUUCCUAUUCCUUCUAAGUGUGACUGAACUAGAAAGAAAACUUCCGUUGAUGUCUUUGGGUGCAGUGCUGAACUCUUGAAUGGAAACGUGCCCAAAGCAUAAAUGAUGGAGCAGGUUGGGGGAAGGGGUGCAUUCUGCAGGGCAGCAGGGCUGUAGCUGUGGGUGCCUGCUGGAGCCGGUACUCAUCCUGCCUGCCUUUCACAUCUUGGAGGCGUUUCAUGGUUUUUGUUUAGCCCAUGCAUGACCACGGUUCAGCUCAGCAGCUGCGUAACACCGCUGUCUAAACCAUGGAUGUUAUGGACAGGUGUUCUGACGAACUGGAGUUUGUUCUUCAUUCCUCUGUUGCAAUACGUCCCAGCGAGGUCAAAGCCUGAGCGGUCUGCGUGCUGAGCCAACCUCUCACAAUUUGCUUUUUGUUUUUGGCCAAGAGAUUAUAAGGUGCAUGAAGGUGAGGUGUGCUCACCAAAUCAUUGCUGAUUUGCGUUGGGUGUAAGGCUGCAAGCAUCGCCAGCCUUUUAUGUAGGUCACGUCUUAGUUUUUGUGUCAUCGCAUGCUUGGGGCACUACAAGACAGAAAAACAGGUACCACGGUUUUAUCUUUUUCCUCUACCCUCUUCUGCCCUAGGUACGUGACCUAGAUUAGUUUGCGAGCAAAAAUUAUGGAGCUCACAAAUGGGAAAGCUGCAGGUACUCUAUGCUUACUGCCUUUAUGGACGCACAGACCUAAAGCUCUCUAAAGGGGCUCACAAAUCCACAUGGGGUUCCUAAAUGCUGCAUCCUGCAUUUGGGUCAUUGGUUAGCUGAGAGCAGUUCUGAAGUCACAUACAGGCUAACAGCUUCCUUUUGGCUAGGUAGGAGAGAAACAUCAUUGAUGUGUUUAUUCCAAGCUUUGUAUGGGAUAUAGAAGAAGAGCUCACCCAGAUGUGUUUGUUUGCUAGAAGCCAGCCGUGGAGGAGAUCUGCACAGGAGUGAGGGACAUAGUAACAGCCCUUGCAAGGACAGCGUCUUCCCCUCUUGUGGAGCCCAUCUAUCAUCACAGUGCUGCCAUAACCAACGGGCUCCUCUGCAGUCUUGAUCCCUGGUCAGCCUGGCAUGCACCGUGGUAACAAGUGAACCUGCCCCAUCCUUGCUCAGCUCCAUCACAUGCACUGCAGGUAGCAUAUAGGCAGCCAGCUGAACUCAGCAGGGCCCAGAGUGAGCAGGGAAACGAUUCCAAGGCAACAUCUCACAUGCCACCAUACAAGAAAGCAAACUUUCCAGAGAUGUAGGAUAUGUCACCGACCCUGGUGGUGUUUAAAGAGUGUUUGGAUGUUGUGCUAAGGGACAUGGUUUAGUGGGAACCAUUGGUGAUUGGUGAAGGGCAAACGGUUGGACUGGAUGAUCCUGUGGGUCUUUUCCAACCUUAGCGAUUCUAUGAUUCUAUGUCCCUCACCCAACAGCAGCACAACGUUCUGCGUUCUGCAGGCCUGCAUUACGCCCUCACCCUGCUGUCCCCUGCCCCUGUGGUUUGCUUCAGCUGUGGAAACAGGAACUGCUGAGUCAGCAUGCUGGUGUAACUCACACUGCUCUCAUGGGGAGAGGGCUGCAGCGAGGGGGCUGGCAGCAGCUCACAGCCUGCAGGAAAACAAGUACUUACAUUCUCUUGCAGUGGCCUGAAAAAAUAAAUAAUCUCUUUGCUUAAAAACUCAAAGAGGUAGCAAGAACCCGAAGUGUAAGUGUGAGGGGAAUGAUCAGAUCUGGCAGAUGUGCGCUGACGAUCAAGCAUUUAGAGUUUGGCCAAUGUCAUUUUUCUGUUUGCUCUGUUAACAGCCCAGUUAUGCUUGAAGAAGCCAAGAUGCAGCUGGCUGAACAGGCAGAACAAGGCCAUCACAUUUGGCUCAUCUGCCUGGUGCCGAUAGAGAGCAGCAGCCUGUUCUGAUUACGGACUCGUGCAGAGGUGAAAUUGCUCCCUUGGAACCAGUACAAGGUAAUGGACUUUUAAAAAUUCAAGUAACCCCCUCAGAAGAGUCAGGUCUCCUGUGCCGUGCAAGUACAAAAGAGGAAAGAAAUUUGGGAUGACUGCAUCUCAGAGGGCAAAUUGUCCACGGUACAGUAGAGAGUAGCUGAAGGUCAGCUAAAGGGAUGCGAAGGGGAAAGUUAAUUGCCAAAUUGUUAAAAAAUUGGAAAGAGAAUCAGAGUUAAGAUGGAGACGUUCCAGAGAGCCAUUCUAUUAAGGCUAUAAAUAGGGUGUUAUCCACAAGAUCAAAGUGAACAAAACCACCUCUAGCAGCAGGAAGGCGGCAGCUAAAAGAGGGAGAAGGGAACUGCUGGGAGCGCUGUCGCUGUCAGGAUGACACCUCACCCAGCACGCCAGCCUUCAGCUAAGCUGGGUCUGCUCAGUGCAGUGCCACAGUGCUUUAUUGCAUUACUUCUUGCGCUUCCUAGAGAAACCUCACAAUCAGUGAAGCUGCGUAUCAGUAGAAUUGCAGUUGGAGCUCAGAUCUGAGAUUUGCUUGUUGGACCGUGGGGCAGCAGAGCAGCACGUGUGAUUGCCCAGGUGGUGCCCAGGGCCCCCUCCCUGGAGCUCUGGUGAGACACAAUUGGGAGAGCCCACAGCUCACUGCUACAGGGGCAGGGAGAGGCUACAGUGCUGCAAAUGAGAAGUUGUCAGGCAACAUGUACUUACGCAUAAAUGGCAAAUUAGCUUUGACUGCAGCUGAGACAGCCCAUCUACAAGCUCCAAAGGUACUAUCCUAACAGAUACAUAGACAUGCUGACACUUAAGAAGGACAGUAGCAGAUAAGACAGACUGGAUGCGGGUAAGAGCGUUCUGUUUCAGUAGAUGGAUAUUAGUAACAGAGGCUAUCAGUGAUACCUAAGAGAAAUGUUAUCGUAAAGGUGAGAUAGAACAGAAAUGAAAGGUGGCCUGCACAGUCUGAGUAUUCAAAGCAAAUUAAAAAGGUGCAUGUAAACUUCCCCCUGAGGUGCCCUGUUGAUGUUUGGAGGACCAGCAGCACAGAGAGUCAGGAGACAGAUUCUGCAACCCAGGAAGAGAAAGUGUUUGCUGUUCCCCCGCAGUGCCACACCUUUGAGACAUGCCCAGUUCGUCAAGACUGCGUGAUGGGAAGGCAGGAGGUUUACUGUGCCUGGAAGCCAGAAUGAACUAUUACAAAUAAAAAUAUUCAAAUAAGCAAGUUCUGAAGUUUCUCUGAGGAAGGGAAAGGAAGUGAAUACAGCAUGGCAGCUAGCUGUGCAUAGAGGGAGCCAGAGCUGGAGAAGUGAGCACACACAUACGGGGACGGAAUUUGGAGACCACUACCCAGAGGGGUGCCUUGAAGAAGCUGAGCAGACACAGUGCAGCUACUUACCCACAAGUCUUGUUACUUGUUUGCUUUUAACUCCAAGAUUCAACCACAGGCUCCCCUAAAAGAAUUGUCCUGCCACUUCAGUGCCAAUCACCAUCUCCCAACAUAAGCAUCGCUGGCACUGUUGCACUGCAGCUCAGCUCCUGACAAGCUGGUGAGCUGCAUGGCUCCAUCCAAGGGCUGGAAGCUUCGCUGAAGUUUAGCAGAGCUGCAGCAAGCACUCCAUCUGUCAGCAGGGGUUUACCUCAGCUUACAUCUCCAGCCAUUGUUUACAAGGUUAAUAAUCAUCCAGGGAGGCAAAGAUUACCAACGUCAAAACCCAAAGAGCCGAGCAGAGCGCUGCAAGUGAGCAGAGUGCUACAAGUGGUUGACCGACCUGAGCAAAGUGUUUAGGUGAGGACUGCAGCUCACCAAAACAUUCCCAAGCAGCCCUAUGCACGAACAGAAGUAUUACACAACUGCCUGAUUUCCCCCACAGCUCACUUCAAAUGCCUGUCCUCUGCAGACACGACCCAUUCUUGUCGAACACAAACAUAAAACAUCAUAUUUUAUUAAACUCACAGCAAAUUUUGUUACCGACGUUAGCCAAGUAACGUUUGGACAGCCAGCUUGGAAAGAUGAGUGAUUUGUAUCAUUUGCUUCACUUGUGCUUAUCUGUUUUUGAGAAUAAUAGGCAGAACUACUCGAACUUCCACACUAUCCUACUGAAACAAACAUAGGCUCGUUCCUUGGGUUGAAUAUUUACUAAAAAACCCAACAACCAUUGCAGUAUCAGAGGUUUUUUGGACGAAAGCAACUA